GGGGGGGUUGUUUCGGGAUUAUUGGGCGUAAGCGAGUGUAGGCGGUUUGACAAGUCGGAUGUGAAAUCCCGGGGCCCAACCCCGGAACUGCAUCCGAUACUGUCUGGCUAGAGUCCCGGAGAGGGUGGCGGAAUUCCCGGUGUAGGGGUGAAAUCCGUAGAUAUCGGGAGGAACACCAGUGGCGAAGGCGGCCACCUGGACGGUGACUGACGCUGAGACUCGAAAGCGUGGGUAGCAAACAGGAUUAGAUACCCUGGUAGUCCACGCUGUAAACGGUGAGUGCUCGUCGUCGUGGGUAUUGACCCCUGCGGUGACCAAGUUAACACAUGAAGCACUCCGCCUGGGAAGUACGGUCGCAAGACUAAAACUCAAAGAAAUUGACGGGGGCCCGCACAAGCGGUGGAGCAUGUUGUUUAAUUCGAAGCAACGCGCAGAACCUUACCUGGAUUUGACAUCUCUGGAAUCUUCCUGAAAGGGAAGAGUGCCUUCGGGAGCCAGAAGACAGGUGCUGCAUGGCUGUCGUCAGCUCGUGUCGUGAGAUGUUGGGUUAAGUCCCGCAACGGGCGCAACCCCUAUCGUUAGUUGCUAGCAGUUUCGGCUGAA
rnacentral:rRNA from 1 species